CUUUGGUUUGAGUUAUGAACAAGUUUCGGGAUUAGACUACCAUGUUGGAAAAGGUUAUAAUAUUUUUAAAGACUCAACAACUUUGAAGUCACCUCUGGCGAUGGAAGAGAGCAGCAAUUAAUAUGGUUUGCCCGGAAAUGUACAUUUGAAAGAGUGUUCCUCUUUUGAUGUCAAAUUUGAAUCAGUUGAGGAUACGAAGGAAUAUGUCAGUAAAA
rnacentral:lncRNA from 1 species